AACACAAUAGCGCAGUGGUUAGCACUGUUGCCUCACAGCAAAAGGGUCGUGGUUUCGAAUCCAACGUGGGGCC